GACUAAGCCAUGCAAGUCAAAUGUUCUUCGUGAACAUGGCGGACUGCUCAGUAACACGUGGAUAACCUGCCCUUAGGAUUGGCAUAACACCGGGAAACUGGUGAUAAUACCGAAUAGACCAUUUAUGCUGGAAUGCUUUUUGGUUCAAAGGCUUCGGCUGCCUAAGGAUGGAUCUGCGCCCUAUCAGGUAGUAGUGGGUGUAAUGUACCUACUAGCCUACGACGGGUACGGGUUGUGAGAGCAAGAGCCCGGAGAUGGAUUCUGAGACAUGAAUCCAGGCCCUACGGGGCGCAGCAGGCGCGAAAACUUUACAAUGCGGGAAACCGCGAUAAGGGGCCACUGAGUGCCAGCAUAUUAUGUUGGCUGUCCACAUGUAUAAAAACCAUGUGUUAGCAAGGGCCGGGCAAGACCGGUGCCAGCCGCCGCGGUAACACCGGCGGCCCGAGUGGUGAUCACUUUUAUUGGGUCUAAAGGGUCCGUAGCCGGUUUGAUCAGUCUUCUGGGAAAUCUGACAGCUCAACUGUUAGGCUUUCAGGGGAUACUGUUAGACUUGGGACCGGGAGAGGUAAGAGGUACUACAGGGGUAGGAGUGAAAUCUUGUAAUCCCUGUGGGACCACCAGUGGCGAAGGCGUCUUACCAGAACGGGUCCGACGGUGAGGGACGAAAGCUGGGGGCACGAACCGGAUUAGAUACCCGGGUAGUCCCAGCCGUAAACGAUGUUCGCUAGGUGUCAGGGACGGUGCGACCGUUUCUGGUGCCGCAGGGAAGAGCCUGAAGCGAACCACCUGGGAAGUACGGCCGCAAGGCUGAAACUUA
rnacentral:rRNA from 1 species